UACGAAGGGGGGCUAGCGUUGACUCGGAAUCGACUAGGGCGUAAAGGGCGCGUGAGGCGGCCGGCCAAGUCGGGGGUGAAAGCCUGUGGCUCAACCACAGAAUGGCCCUCGAUACUGGCGUGGCUCGAGACCGGGAAGAGGGUUGGUGGAAUUGCGAGUGUAGAGGUGAAAUUCGUAGAUAUUCGCAAGAACACCGGUGGCGAAGGCGGCCAAACUGGUCCGGAU
rnacentral:rRNA from 1 species